GACGUGUUCAAAAAAUAUUCUGAAACGUAGAAUUUUGAGUUUAUCCGUGUAAUAAACUAACGUAGGGAUACUGAAAUUUUUAGUAGGUUUACACGUGUAGGUAGCUCUAAGUCAAUAUACACCGCGCUCAGGUAUCGUUUUAUACGUUGUGGGGGGAGGUAUAAUAAUAAUAUUAUAUACAAAGCUAGGUGUGUUAUUAACGCCGUGUUGUUAAACAUAGUAUAAUUCG